CGGGGGUCGGUCUUUUAUGUGUAAGUUCAGGGUGCCCUGUUGUAGAACAGGAUAGGAAAGGUUUCAGGCUUACCCCUUUUCUACAGGCUGUAAAUCAGUGCCCAUUUAAAGAAUUUAUCCAGGAAUAGAAAACCAGAGACAAGAUCCAUUCAAACCUCCUGAGACAGCAGAGGGAAAAAAAAAGUGCCAGGGGCCUGCUGAGACAAUACCACACUGAAAAUAUGAGGACUACACAACUUCCUUCCAAAGGUACUGCCGAGAUUUUAGAGGUAUGUCAGCCGGCAAUGGAGGUGGUCAGUCUGUGUUCCAGAAGUGACGACAUCUUGCAGCUAUUGGACAUGAUGAUGUGUAAAGAGAAGAAGGCAUCGGGGUG